GUAUUUCAGGCUUUUUGUGAUGGACCAACAAACAAAGUGAGAGCAAGAAUGUAUGUUACUUCAACAAUUAUAUUUGGAUCAGUGUUCUGGCGAAUGGGGAAAACUCAAACUUCCAUACAAGAUAGGAUGGGACUUCUUCAGGUGGCUGCCAUAAACACAGCAAUGGCUGCUCUGACAAAGACGGUGGGGGUUUUCCCGAAAGAACGAGCUAUAGUUGACAGGAACGUGCAAAGGGUUCCUAUGCACUAGGACCAUAUCUCUCUUCUAAGAUGCUGGCCGAGAUUCCGAUUGGAGCAGCAUUUCCAUUGAUAUUUGGAUCCAUUCUCUAUCCAAUGGCUAAACUUCAUCCUACAGUUUCUAGCCAUUCUUGGAAGAAUGCAACUGCAGCUUAAUUGGAGUUGAACUGGAGGUAACAUUUGGAAUUACUUGGAAGUUGGAACACAAGUGGAGUGUGUUAUGACGAUUGCUCAAAGGAACUUUGGUCAUAUUGCUUGAC